UCCCUGGUGGUCCAGUGGUUAAGAUUCCACACUUGCAGUGCAGGGGGCCCAGGUUUGAUCCCUGGUUGGGGAA
rnacentral:tRNA from 1 species